rnacentral:rRNA from 1 species
AUUGAACGCUGGCGGCAGGCCUAAUACAUGCAAGUCGAGCGAGCGGCGGACGGGUGAGUAAUGUAUGGGCAUCUGCCCGAUCUAGGGGGAUAACUACUGGAAACGGUGGCUAAUACCGCUUACUACCCGAUGAACCCAUAUGGGAUUAGCUAGUAGGUGGGGUAAAGGCUCACCUAGGCGACGAUCUCUAGCUGGUCUGAGAGGAUGAUCAGCCACACUGGGACUGAGACACGGCCCAGACUCCUACGGGAGGCAGCAGUGGGGAAUAUUGGGCAAUGGACGCAAGCCUGAUGCAGCCAUGCCGCGUGUAUGAAGAAGGCCUUCGGAUUGUAAAGUACUUUCAGCGGGGAGGCGUUACCCGCAGAGAAAGCACCGGCUAACUCCGUGCCAGCAGCCGCGGUAAUUC